rnacentral:rRNA from 1 species
AUGAGGAUGAGGAGGAGGACGAGAGGAGGGCUCCGGAGAGGCGGCCCAGGCAGGUCGAGCUGCCCCUACCUCGACACUGUCAACCGACUAGCUUCGAUCUACCAUGUCCUUAGCGGCAGCAACAGAACAGAAUGUCUGAAGAAGCAUCUGCCAGUAUCAGUGCCAGAGGGACUGAACGAACUUCAAAUCAUCGUUGUGCGAUUCAAAGAGAAGAUUUAUACUACAGCGACCAGUCAGCUGAAGCACCUGCUCGAGCAUGCUAAAUUGCUAAUCAGCCAGAACUAUUGGUUGCAAGCCACCAUUAGUAAUUUGGUCCCAGGCGGUGGUCAUUGCGAUGACACACAUCAGGUCAGCUAA